UACAGAGGGCGCGAGCGUUGUCCGGAAUCACUGGGCGUAAAGGGCGCGUAGGUGGCGGCAUAAGGCCGUGGUGAAAGUCUGGGGCUCAACCCCAGAUCGGCCAUGGCGACUGUGUCGCUUGGGUACUGUAGAGGGAUGUGGAAUUCCAGGUGUAGCGGUGAAAUGCGUAGAUAUCUGGAGGAACACCGGUGGCGAAGGCGGCAUCCUGGACCGGUAUUGACGCUGAGGCGCGAAAGCCAGGGGAGCAAACGGG
rnacentral:rRNA from 1 species